UCUCCAGAGUUCUACUGAUACCCUCUUAGUUACUUGAUUAAAAAUUGAAUAAUUUUUUUUUAAGGUUGACGGCAGAUGGUGAAAAAACUACGAAAUUACAGGUUGUGACAGAGCAAGAGUUUAUAAAAUCUACUUUUCUGAAGAGUAAGAUAGAAUCUGAAUUCUGGGCCCUUUAUAAGAAGAAUAUGAGUUUAUUGGAACAAAUGCUGGAAAACCAGGUUCCCCAACAAGAAAAACCCGCCAAAUUAAAACCCAAAUCAGCUGGUAAAGUGGCGCCAUCUAUUGAUUAUCAAAUAGAACCAAGCAGAUCAGUUUCUUCGCCACUGGAAAUAGAUUACUCUGAGAUGUGGAGAAUAAUGAACAGUCUUAUUAUUCUUCUAAUUUUGUCCCUGAUGGUUAUGGCCAUAUUCAAGAUUGC